AUUGAACGCUGGCGGCAGGCCUAACACAUGCAAGUCGAGCGGAGCGGCGGACGGGUGAGUAAUGCCUAGGAAUCUGCCUGGUAGUGGGGGAUAACGUCCGGAAACGGGCGCUAAUACCGCAUACUAUCAGAUGAGCCUAGGUCGGAUUAGCUAGUUGGUGGGGUAAAGGCCUACCAAGGCGACGAUCCGUAACUGGUCUGAGAGGAUGAUCAGUCACACUGGAACUGAGACACGGUCCAGACUCCUACGGGAGGCAGCAGUGGGAAAUAUUGAACAAUGGGCGAGAGCCUGAUCCAGCCCAGCCGGGUGUAUGAAAAAGGUCUUCGGAUUGUAAAGCACUUUAAGUAGGGGGGCGAUACCAACAAAAUGAGCACCGGCUGGCUUCGUGCCAACAGCCACGGUAAUAC
rnacentral:rRNA from 1 species